AUACGUAGGGGGCGAGCGUUGUCCGGAAUGAUUGGGCGUAAAGGGCGCGUAGGCGGCCCGGUAAGUCUGGAGUGAAAGUCCUGCUUUUAAGGUGGGAAUUGCUUUGGAUACUGUCGGGCUUGAGUGCAGGAGAGGUAAGUGGAAUUCCCAGUGUAGCGGUGAAAUGCGUAGAGAUUGGGAGGAACACCAGUGGCGAAGGCGACUUACUGGACUGUAACUGACGCUGAGGCGCGAAAGUGUGGGGAGCAAACAGGAUUAGAUACCCUGGUAGUCCACACUGUAAACGAUGAAUGCUAGGUGUAGGGGGUAUCGACCCCUUCUGUGCCGCAGUUAACACAAUAAGCAAUCCGCCUGGGGAGUACGGCCGCAAGGUUGAAACUCAAAUGAAUUGGCGGGG
rnacentral:rRNA from 1 species